CAUGAAGCUGGAUUCGCUAGUAAUCGCGCAUCAGCCACGGCGCGGUGAAUACGUUCCCGGGCCUUGUACACACCGCCCGUCAAGCCAUGGAAGCCGGGGGUGCCUGAAGUGCGCUGCUGCAAGGAGCGCCCUAGGGUAAAACCGGUGACUGGGGCUAAGUCGUAACAAGGUAGC
rnacentral:rRNA from 1 species